UAGUCCAAGUUGUCAUAGUUAGAGGCCAGACAGAUACUGAUCCAUUCUUAUCCUUGUGAGAAGCUAUCAUCCCUUUGAGCUCCCAGCCUACACAGAGUUGAUGUCUCCUCAUUCAGUCCCUCCCUUCUAUCUCCACUGCCACAGCCCUAGCUGAGACCUUAGUCAAUAUAACUUGAGGACUGUGCCAUUUCCUCCUUGUUCUCCUCACUGCCACUUAUACUAAUCUUUUCUACUUCCCAUUCUUUCCAGAGGAAUCUAUCUUGUGCACAGCAAUUAGCAUGUCACUCCUCUGACCAGAAACCUUCAUUGGUUCUCUUUUGCUUGCAAAGCAAAGUCCAGAUUCCUGAACCAGUGUGUAAACUCAUCAAGACAAGGAACCAUGCCUGUCUCUUCUUUGCAACCCCGUUGUGUCUGGUGCUUUGGGAGAGAACUACAGAAGCACUUGUGAACGGACAAUGAGUGGGUUCUCUCUCAGCUUAAUUAGUCAGUUGCCCUCUAAUGCUUCACAGUUCUUAAGAGCAGCCUAUUUCUCCUGUCUACAGACACGAAGCCUCCUGAGAUGACAUGCCCGACCGGGAGAAGAGAGGCAGGCUCCAGGCGAAAUCCAUGGGGAGAUACAGCCACAGCAGUGACCUCCCAGCUCCCAGAACCAGCUCUGUGCCAAGUAUAUUUGGGGGCAUUAGCUUUGGAGCCCAAGGCUGUGUCUAUACAGUGUAACAGAGACCUGCCUCUGUACGAGAUUUGGUAUUUGUGCUUGUCAUGAGGGCACAGUGCCCAGCAGUGGUUCAGACUAUGUGCGAUGGUUCCAAUUUGGUUGUUAAAGCUGCCAAAAGAGUGACUAAUGCAACUGACAAAAAUAUUUUUGGUGAACCAAUGACAUCAACCACUUGACCACUGGUCUCUAUUUGAGUUGGAAAAUCCAAAUGAAGCAAAAUAAACAGUCCAUAGGAUGAGGACAUAUUUGUCAGGGGGUGUGUCUCAUGAGGAAUUAUCUCCUUUCCUGGGGUCAUCAUGUGCAGAGCAGGGACGCUGCCAUAGCCCUGUCAGGGUCCUUUCCCUUCCUGCUCCUUGUGUCCAUCUCCCUGAGAGACGCUCUUCUUCCCUUUCAGGCUGGGUAUGCAUCGAACUAUUUCCUCUUAGAUAAAGUCAUUUGCAUUUGCCUCCCAAGAUGACUCUCCUUUCAUUGGGUGCUGUCCAUAUUUCUAGUCUGCUAAGUCCAUUUAUAUUAUCACUUGGCCUUGCCUGACGCUUGGCCUAUUUCUCUGUUCAGUGUUGCCAUGACUUCAGAGUGACCACAGAGCAGGCCAGGAGUACACGUCCUUCCAUUACGGGAAGAAGGUGGGGAGAAGAGGAAGAAAAAGCCAACAAGAAGAAAAACAACCAUAUUGUACUUCCUGAGCAGGAACAGGCUGUGGUUUUGUACAAAAUUUGCAGCGAAGAACAAGUCAUACAGAUAAUAAUAAAUAGCAAACAACAGGAUGUGUACACACCAACUUUUUCAGCCCUCACCCCCACUCUCUGAAGCAGAUCCUGAUUAUCUCCCCUUUAACGGAGGAAGCUGAGGCAAGAAAGGAGAAGUAAUGUGCCCAAAACAACACAGCUAGAAAGUGGCAGAGACUGGAUCCUGUGGAAUAUGCAUGUCAUUAUACAAAUCUUAUGUUUCAGUAGUUUCAAAAUGUCCUGUCCUUAAGCUCAGGUGCCAGAUAUGUCGCUGAUUUCAGUAUCUGUUUGGGAAACCCAAGCAAUAUCAUUUUCUUCAUAGCUCCAAUGAUCCACCCACUCCUGGGGCAUUUUUGCACACUUCUGCCAUGAUCACACUUCUGCUGAGGUGAUCAGGUACAGUGUGUGUGUGUGCGCGCAUGUGUGUGUGUGUGUGUGUGUGUGUGUGUGUACACAAAUAUAUGCAUAGGAAACAGGUUUUGGGUCAUUAAUUAUUUUACAGAAAUGUGAUCCCAUUAUAGACACAGUUAUUCCAUUUGUCUUGUUCGCUCAUAAAAACUAAUGGAAAUCCUUUCAAGGCCAUUGUUAGGGAAAGAAUUCAUGCUUUGUAAUGGCGGCACCAUAUUUCAUGGCACGAGUGUAUUAUACUAAUGCACACAACCCCCUAUAGAUGAACAGUCACUUUGUUUUCAUGACCUUAAUUGUAAUUCUAAUUGUAAUUGAUACAGUGUUGGCGUGAAUAAUGUUGCAAUAAGAAUCCCUGGGUGUGUAUUCUUAUGUCCUGGGAAUUGUAUUUCUGAGGAAACCAAUUCAAUGGUGGUUAGAAUAUUUACAGAGCUGUGCAGUCAUCACAACCCAUAUCAGAACAUUUUUAUCUCUUUUCAAAAAAAAUCCAUACCCAAUAGUGGUCACUUUUCACUUCUCACCAACCUUCCAUCUUUAGGCAACCACUAAUCUAUUUUCUGUCACUAUAGAUUUCCCAAUCCUGAGCAUUUUGGAGAAAUGGAAUUCUGCAGUAUGUGGUCUGUUAUGAUUUGCUUCUUUUGCUUAGCAUAAAGUUUUCAAGGCUCUGCCAUGGCACAGGAAGUAUCAGUACCUUACUCUUUUCCAUGGCUGAAUCAUAUUCAACUACACAGCUCUACUACAUUCUGUUUGUCCCUAAGUGGUCCUUUGGACUGCUUCCACCUUUUGGCUACUGUAAAUAGUACUAUUUUGUACAUGGUGUACAUGUAUUGGUUUGAGUCUCUGUUUUCAAUUCUCUGGGGUACAUACUGUGUUAGUCAAGCUUCUCCAAAGAAACAGAAUCAAGAUAUAAAUGAAGAGAUUUAUCUAAUGGUGUUGGCUUAUGUAAUUAUGGAGGCCGAGAAGUCCCAUGAUCAGCUUUCUGCCAGCUGGAGUCCCAGUAGACCAGUGGUAGAUUGAAGACCUAAGCCGGAGAGCUAAUGGUACAGAUUUCAGUCUGAAGGCCUGAAAAGCAAGGGCUCCAAGGGCAGGAGACUGAUGCCCCAGCUCAAACACUCAGGCACAGAGCAAAGUCAACUUUCUUUGGCUUUUUCAUUCUACUCAGGCCCUCAAUGAAUUGGGUGAUACCCACCUGCAUUGGGAAGGACCCUCGGCUUCACUCUGUCCACCAACUCAAAUGCCAAUCUUUUCUGGAAACACCUUUUCUGGAAAUAUCCAGAAAUAAUGUUUAAGUGGUCAUCUGGACAGCCCAGUCAAGCUGACAUGUAACAUUAACCAUCACAUACACCAAGGAGUGGCAUUGUUGGGUCCUAUGUAGAGAGAAGAGAGAAAUCUUCAUUCUAGAAUAGUAGAGC